rnacentral:rRNA from 3 species
GGGUUGUGAGGUUAAGCGACUAAGCGUACACGGUGGAUGCCCUGGCAGUCAGAGGCGAUGAAGGACGUGCUAAUCUGCGAAAAGCGUCGGUAAGGUGAUAUGAACCGUUAUAACCGGCGAUGUCCGAAUGGGGAAACCCAGUGUGAUUCGUCACACUAUCGUUAACUGAAUACAUAGGUUAACGAGGCGAACCGGGGGAACUGAAACAUCUAAGUACCCCGAGGAAAAGAAAUCAACCGAGAUUCCCCCAGUAGCGGCGAGCGAACGGGGAGCAGCCCAGAGUCUGAAUCAGCUUGUGUGUUAGUGGAACGGUCUGGAAAGUCCGACGGUACAGGGUGAUAGUCCCGUACACCAAAAUGCACAGGUUGUGAACUCGAAGAGUAGGGCGGGACACGUGGUAUCCUGUCUGAAUAUGGGGGGACCAUCCUCCAAGGCUAAAUACUCCUGACUGACCGAUAGUGAACCAGUACCGUGAGGGAAAGGCGAAAAGAACCCCGGCGAGGGGAGUGAAAAAGAACCUGAAACCGUGUACGUACAAGCAGUGGGAGCACCUUCGGGUGUGACUGCGUACCUUUUGUAUAAUGGGUCAGCGACUUAUAUUCUGUAGCAAGGUUAACCGUAUAGGGGAGCCGCAGGGAAACCGAGUCUUAACUGGGCGUUAAGUUGCAGGGUAUAGACCCGAAACCCGGUGAUCUAGCCAUGGGCAGGUUGAAGGUUGGGUAACACUAACUGGAGGACCGAACCGACUAAUGUUGAAAAAUUAGCGGAUGACUUGUGGCUGGGGGUGAAAGGCCAAUCAAACCGGGAGAUAGCUGGUUCUCCCCGAAAGCUAUUUAGGUAGCGCCUCGUGAACUCAUCUUCGGGGGUAGAGCACUGUUUCGGCUAGGGGGUCAUCCCGACUUACCAACCCGAUGCAAACUACGAAUACCGAAGAAUGUUAUCACGGGAGACACACGGCGGGUGCUAACGUCCGUCGUGAAGAGGGAAACAACCCAGACCGCCAGCUAAGGUCCCAAAGUCAUGGUUAAGUGGGAAACGAUGUGGGAAGGCACAGACAGCCAGGAUGUUGGCUUAGAAGCAGCCAUCAUUUAAAGAAAGCGUAAUAGCUCACUGGUCGAGUCGGCCUGCGCGGAAGAUGUAACGGGGCUAAACCAUGCACCGAAGCUGCGGCAGCGACACUAUGUGUUGUUGGGUAGGGGAGCGUUCUGUAAGCCUGCGAAGGUGACCUGUGAGGGUUGCUGGAGGUAUCAGAAGUGCGAAUGCUGACAUAAGUAACGAUAAAGCGGGUGAAAAGCCCGCUCGCCGGAAGACCAAGGGUUCCUGUCCAACGUUAAUCGGGGCAGGGUGAGUCGACCCCUAAGGCGAGGCCGAAAGGCGUAGUCGAUGGGAAACAGGUUAAUAUUCCUGUACUUGGUGUUACUGCGAAGGGGGGACGGAGAAGGCUAUGUUAGCCGGGCGACGGUUGUCCCGGUUUAAGCAUGUAGGCUGAUUGUCCAGGCAAAUCCGGAUAAUCAAGGCUGAGGUGUGAUGACGAGGCACUACGGUGCUGAAGUAACAAAUGCCCUGCUUCCAGGAAAAGCCUCUAAGCAUCAGGUAACAUCAAAUCGUACCCCAAACCGACACAGGUGGUCAGGUAGAGAAUACCAAGGCGCUUGAGAGAACUCGGGUGAAGGAACUAGGCAAAAUGGUGCCGUAACUUCGGGAGAAGGCACGCUGGUGUGUAGGUGAAGUCCCUGCGGAUGGAGCUGAGACCAGUCGAAGAUACCAGCUGGCUGCAACUGUUUAUUAAAAACACAGCACUGUGCAAACACGAAAGUGGACGUAUACGGUGUGACGCCUGCCCGGUGCCGGAAGGUUAAUUGAUGGGGUUAUCCGUAAGGAGAAGCUCUUGAUCGAAGCCCCGGUAAACGGCGGCCGUAACUAUAACGGUCCUAAGGUAGCGAAAUUCCUUGUCGGGUAAGUUCCGACCUGCACGAAUGGCGUAAUGAUGGCCAGGCUGUCUCCACCCGAGACUCAGUGAAAUUGAACUCGCUGUGAAGAUGCAGUGUACCCGCGGCAAGACGGAAAGACCCCGUGAACCUUUACUAUAGCUUGACACUGAACAUUGAGCCUUGAUGUGUAGGAUAGGUGGGAGGCUUUGAAGCGUGGACGCCAGUCUGCGUGGAGCCAACCUUGAAAUACCACCCUUUAAUGUUUGAUGUUCUAACGUUGGCCCCUUACCGGGGUUGCGGACAGUGUCUGGUGGGUAGUUUGACUGGGGCGGUCUCCUCCCAAAGCGUAACGGAGGAGCACGAAGGUUAGCUAAUCCUGGUCGGACAUCAGGAGGUUAGUGCAAUGGCAUAAGCUAGCUUGACUGCGAGCGUGACGGCGCGAGCAGGUGCGAAAGCAGGUCAUAGUGAUCCGGUGGUUCUGAAUGGAAGGGCCAUCGCUCAACGGAUAAAAGGUACUCCGGGGAUAACAGGCUGAUACCGCCCAAGAGUUCAUAUCGACGGCGGUGUUUGGCACCUCGAUGUCGGCUCAUCACAUCCUGGGGCUGAAGUAGGUCCCAAGGGUAUGGCUGUUCGCCAUUUAAAGUGGUACGCGAGCUGGGUUUAGAACGUCGUGAGACAGUUCGGUCCCUAUCUGCCGUGGGCGCUGGAGAAUUGAGGGGGGCUGCUCCUAGUACGAGAGGACCGGAGUGGACGCAUCACUGGUGUUCGGGUUGUCAUGCCAAUGGCACUGCCCGGUAGCUAAAUGCGGAAGAGAUAAGUGCUGAAAGCAUCUAAGCACGAAACUUGCCCCGAGAUGAGUUCUCCCUGAGACUUUAAGUCUCCUGAAGGAACGUUGAAGACGACGACGUUGAUAGGCCGGGUGUGUAAGCGCAGCGAUGCGUUGAGCUAACCGGUACUAAUGAACCGUGAGGCUUAACCUUACAACGCCGAAG